GCCGGGUGUGGUGACACAUGCCUGUAAUCCCAGAGGCUGGGGAGGCUGAGGCAGGAGGAUCAUGAGUUCAAAGCCAGCCUCAGCAAAAGCAAGGCACUAAGCAACUCAGUGAGACCCUGACUCUA
rnacentral:sRNA from 1 species